rnacentral:pre_miRNA from 1 species
UGGAGAGAAAGGCAGUCCCUGAUGGUCCCCUCCCCAGGGGCUGGUUUUCCUCUGGU